CAGACUGAAUCAGUCCGGCAGGUCUGCAAAAAGUUGACAAGAGUCUGAGGACGAGGGUGUGAAUCCCUUAAGGCUGCUAUUGUCAUUGAACUCUCCAUGGUGUGAAACCACAGCCUGAGGUGCUGAGCUUCUACCAAGAGCAACUGAGGCUGAGGAACCAAUUCCCUUCUGCCAACUCUUUUAUUGGAGUGAGUGGCUGGAGAUGGAAACAUCUUCAACCAGUACAGCAAGCUUCACCACAACCCGUCUGUCAGAGCCCUAAGCCCUGUCUGCUUGUGAGUUACUUAGCCAUAAAGGCCCAAAUACUCUCUGCCAUCAUAUUUAGGUUUUUUUUCCUGUCACACAUAAUUGUAGCUCAAAGGUCCUGAAUAAUUGCAUUCCUAUUGGGGCUGAUCCAGCCCCCAACAAUAAUCUUAAUAACGUUGCUCUUAACCAGCCACAUGAAUCCCUUCCAAUCCCCAAUGCAGGCUCAGUCAUGCUGUAAUACAGUAGAGGGGCCCAUUCACUGUGGGGUUAAUUUAGUUUAAAAUGCAGCCAGCCUAUUUAUGGGACAAAUUUUUGUUCAUGCUCUAAAUUCUCAUGUACAAUCAACAGCCUGUAAACCUGGUCAAACCAACACAUUAGUUGUUGGCCAUUAGUGCAGGCAUUUGGGGUUUACAGCCCUUAGGAGCAGUGUUUGUGCUGAUCUCCCUCACAAGCGGGAUAUAUAUCCCCUAUUCAGUCAACGGGCCCUGUCACAGGGGGAAAGUACAGAAACUUUUUCCUGCACUGGAAAUCAAUUUCCUAGGACCCCAGGAGGAGUUUGACCUCACACUCCCCCAGUAGCUUUUGUGACCAGUGCUAGCUUUGCAAAAUAAAGAAGCACCACUUUUUUCUUUGUGAGGGGGGAGCAGAAAAUUGAGACAAGCAAAAGAAUAUCACACCACUAGUUGUAUUGCCAGGAGGAGGAUUCCCAGGAACGCAAGGAAAGGCUUUUACUCUUGGGAAGGCUCUACAUAAGGACUGGACUGUUAGCAAAGCUCAGGCUCCUUAAUGGGUCUAAAAGAAGAUUAAGUAGCAGCCUGUUCUUAGGUUUUGAAAUGCAGCCCACAAGCAUGCAAGGCCAUAUCGGGCUUAAGGCAUGCCAAUAUCCAGCAGGGGAAUAGGCAUCAAGGUAGAUGACCUAAGUCCUAACAUAGCACAAGUCCCCUGAAUUAAGCAAUGCCUUAAUUUUUUCUUCAGAGCUAUUUUUAGGCUGACUACCUAAAUUCAGCAGUGUGCCUUACAAAAAACUUUGGUGGGGCAACUUGAUACUGCACGAAGGAAGGGUAGAAAUGAAAAAAUAAACGAGAUGGGGAAGCAGGUGGGAGAAGUCUUUUGGGAUAGCUUCCCCUAGCGUGGUUGCCUUAGGGAGCAGAUUUACCUCUGACAAGGGUGGCUACAGUGGAAGAGUAAUAAGCGUGAAAGGAGUAAUAAGCGCUCCAGGUGGGAAAGGAAGGCAGGGUAACCACCCGCCCAUAAAAAUAGGCAGGGUAGGCCUACAUCUACAUUGCCUACAGCUGGGGCCAUCUGUCUAAAGGCAGGCACGGCUGUCAGGAAAGGAGGGCCUUUUCCAGGUUAGAGAGGUUGAGUGUGAAGCAGGCUCUUUCCAAACUGGACCUCAGACAUACUGGGAGAUAAAGGGAUGUAGAAGAGCUAAAGAUAAAUGUCCUGACUCCAGGAAGUGGCGCUCUUUGGAUAAAGUUGCCAAAGAAGGCAAUUCCAGCAAUCCUCCAGCAUCUAAAGGAGGAAGGGCUCCUCAGCCGGUGCAGUCGGAAGGCUUCGCUCCGCUGCGGAGAGAGCAGCGUUAAGGGAGCAGCUCAUCGGCUCAAGGCUGAUUUCACUUGCAAAAGCAGCGGGGCUUCGCAAUCGCUGACACUUGUGCGGUGUAAACAGGCUGGGUGGCUGCUGCUAGCUGCGUGCCUCUCCCCAGGGGAGUCCUGAGGAGGGCUGGGAUGUGCCCAGCUGUGUGGAGGGGGGGUCUGGUUCCCCUGCGAGCCUGGUGCAUCACCUUGUCCUUCCUGCACGGCACCUGCAAGCAUGGCCUCAAAUUUGGUCUGGACAGACUUCCCAAGAUGAAUUUGGAAAAGUGCCAUUGUGUCAGUAUGGUAACACCACUCUUCGGAGAAUAAAAAGUUUGUUUGUC